rnacentral:rRNA from 1 species
GCCAGACUCCUACGGGAGGCAGCAGUGAGGGAUAUUGGGCAAUGGGGGAAACCCUGACCCAGCGACGCCGCGUGAGGGAAGACGGUCUUCGGAUUGUAAACCUCUGUCUUUGGGGACGAAAAAGGACGGUACCCAAGGAGGAAGCUCCGGCUAACUACGUGCCAGCAGCCGCGGUAAUACGGAGGAUCCGAGCGUUAUCCGGAUUCAUUGGGUUUAAAGGGUGCGUAGGUUGUUUUAUAAGUUAGCGGUGAAAUACCGAUGCUCAACAUCGGGGCUGCCGCUAAUACUGUAGGACUAGAGAUCGGAUGCAGCAGGCGGAAUGUGUAGUGUAGCGGUGAAAUGCAUAGAUAUUACACAGAACACCGAUUGCGAAGGCAGCUUGCUAGGCCGGAUCUGACACUGAUGCACGAAAGCGUGGGGAUCGAACAGGAUUAGAUACCCCGGUA